rnacentral:rRNA from 1 species
CGGGGGGAGCAAGCGUUGUUCGGAUUUACUGGGCGUAAAGGGCGCGUAGGCGGCCACCGCAAGUCGACUGUGAAAUCUCCGGGCUUAACCCGGAAAGGUCAGCCGAUACUGCGGGGCUAGAGUGCAGAAGGGGCAACUGGGAAUUCUCGGUGUAGCGGUGAAAUGCGUAGAUAUCGAGAGGAACACCUGCGGCGAAGGCGGGUUGCUGGGCUGACACUGACGCUGAGGCGCGAAAGCUAGGGGAGCGAACGGGAUUAGAUACCCCGGUAGUCCUAGCCUUAAACGAUGAAUGCUUGGUGUCUGGGGUUUUAUAGUCCCCGGGUGCCGUCGCUAACGCUCUAAGCAUUCCGCCUGGGGAGUACGGUCGCAAGACUG